GUGGAGGUGUAAAAACCUUCGAAGUGGUCAACACAACAGACGUGGUAUAGAGCGGUAACGCAAAGAAACCCGGAGGCCAGCACCUUUGCUGGCUUCUGGGGGAGACAUAAUUUCACGAGUAGAAUUUCCUACG
rnacentral:rRNA from 1 species